rnacentral:rRNA from 1 species
UACCCAGACUCCUACGGGAGGCAGCAGUGAGGAAUAUUGGUCAAUGGCCGAGAGGCUGAACCAGCCAAGUCGCGUGAGGGAAGAAUGUCCUAAGGAUUGUAAACCUCUUUUGUCGGGGAGCAAAAAGGCUCUGCGGAGUCGUAUUGAGAGUACCCGAAGAAAAAGCAUCGGCUAACUCCGUGCCAGCAGCCGCGGUAAUACGGAGGAUGCGAGCGUUAUCCGGAUUUAUUGGGUUUAAAGGGUGCGUAGGUGGUUAAUUAAGUCAGCGGUGAAAGUUUGUGGCUCAACCAUAAAAUUGCCGUUGAAACUGGUUGACUUGAGUAUAUUUGAGGUAGGCGGAAUGCGUGGUGUAGCGGUGAAAUGCAUAGAUAUCACGCAGAACUCCGAUUGCGAAGGCAGCUUACUAAACUAUAACUGACACUGAAGCACGAAAGCGUGGGGAUCAAACAGGAUUAGAUACCCUGGUAAA